UUUUGUCGCUCCGUGUAGGGGGCUAGCCAUUCCUCCCUUUCACCGCCGUUGCACAACACCUUUUUCCGCCCAGGCUCCUCGUGAAGCUUCCAAGAGAGAAAGGGGACGGGCAAAGAGGACCGUGCCACCUCCAUUAUCGUUUCUGCGGCAUCACAUGCAUCGUGUAGCUCGACAUUUUGGCGCAUUCGUGUGCCACGGCCGCCGCAAUGCUGACCAGAGGCAACUGCGAGUCGGUCGAAACACCCCGCCAUUGCCGCUUUCUCUUACGACACGUCUGUGCAGCAGCACUCCACUGCCACCACAGCACCCUUCCGCGUCUGCUUCUGCUCUGUUCACCGGUGAGGGCGAGUUUAGCGCGGGUGGCGAGAAUAGGCGAAACCCGGUAAAAGCGGGGCACUCGCACUACCUCGCGUCGAUGCCGUUUAUGUCGUCCAUGAAUGCCGACGAAGGGUUCACAGAGCAGAUCGUCGAGACUCCCGGCUACUCUGAAGAGGACGCGUUCGGUCACAAGGACCCCCUCAAGGCUGUCGAGCACACGCUGACGACAAAGAGGAAAUCCUCGGCUUGCGAUACUGCCAGCGGCCGUGACGCGCAGACGGCAGAGAUCACCACAUCGCCAGCGUUUCACUCCACUGUUGAUUCCACUGCCACUUCGGCACCGGAGACCGACUUGGCGAAGGAGGUGGACGCGGUGGCAAGUGGCCGCAACCGCCGCCGCAACCGCCGCAAGCGCACUGCGGACGCCAUCCUCGGCGACGUCCUGCACGACGCGCUCCUUCUGCGCGACAUGGGCGAGAAGCCAACCGCUGACUUUGUGUAUAAGCGCACGCAAGAGCGGAUGUACGAGGAGGAGUACGGUCGAAAACCGCCAAGUGCAAAGGAAAACGCCGCGAAGUUCAUUCCGUUCCCUCCUGACUUUCACUUGCACCGCCUGCUGCCGCUUUUUGGUGAUUGUGGCCGCGAUGCUGCCGAGGACGUUGCGACGGACUCAGCCUCUUGUGGUGCGUCUCGGCCCGUCACUCCUGCGCCGGUGUACACGAAAAACUUCAUGAACGCCUACGCGCUUAUGGCGCCGGAUCCGUGGCCUGAGAGAGCCGUGACGCCCGAGAACCCGGUGUGGACUCGCCGCGACGUGGAUGUGGACAAGGAGAAGACGGGCGGCCGGGGACUGAAGGAGUGGGAAGAUCGCGUUUACGGCCCGCGACCCGGCUACGACGUCCAUGGCGAGUUCAUCGAUGCCAUGGAUGAGUUGGGGUACUGGGAGGUGCAGCUGAUUCACUUCCUACGCGUGGUGCCACUGAGUCAGCGCCGCAGCCUGCCAUUCCUUCAUGAGUGGUACCGUCUUCUGGUGCAUCGCGUGAUUCGCGCCGAGCGCCGCUAUAUCCGCAUCCGCGACGCUGCUCUAGCAAACACCAAAGUCUCCACGUCACUGUUUAAUCGCACGGAGCAGCCGAUCGAUGCCGUUCGCAGCUACUAUGCGGAGGCGCACCGAUCCUUGGCCAGCGCCAACUACGACCCGCUACGCAUGAAGAAAUCGGCCCUCGCGCCUCUGAUGCGCAUGACGGACGAGGAGUUUGCCGAGUGGCAAGAGGUGCAGCGGCAGCGCCGGAACUCGCUUGCGGCGGAGCUUGCUUAGUGUCGUCUAGGAGCGUAGGAGAAGGAAGGGCUAGGUUGAGGGGCAUCAGCUGCGACGGGUUGCCUGCGUGAUGGAUCAAAGGCCACCUGCUUGCGUGUGGCGAGUAUGACGCGUCUAUAUUUCUAUCCACACUUUGCACGCGCGUUUUUGCGACAUUAAACGCGAAACAGACGCGCAUCCGUGAGGGUCACGCUGCCCUCUCUCUCUGUUUGCAAGCGCUGUGCGUGCGUGUUGGCGCGUUUACAGAGCGAAGUCCCAUUCUUCGGCGGUUUUCAAAACAAAAA
rnacentral:misc_RNA from 1 species